CUUGGUCAUUUAGAGGAAGUAAAAGUCGUAACAAGGUUUCCGUAGGUGAACCUGCGGAAGGAUCAUUAAUGAGUUCUUUGAAGUGGGACUGAUGCUGGCCUCCCGAGGCAAGUGCUCGUCCUCACUCUCAUCCACUCACAACACCUGUGCACUGUUGAGGUGUGGCCCCCCUUUGACGGAGCCGUUCCCUCCUCUCGCGAGGAGGUUGAGCCGGGGUCAGACCUUCUCCUCGUCACAAACAACUUGUAAUGUAUUGACAGAAUGCAUGUGUUAUUAUACGAAAUAAUACAACUUUCAACAACGGAUCUCUUGGCUCUCGCAUCGAUGAAGAACGCAGCGAAAUGCGAUAAGUAAUGUGAAUUGCAGAAUUCAGUGAAUCAUCGAAUCUUUGAACGCACCUUGCGCUCCUUGGUAUUCCGAGGAGCAUGCCUGUUUGAGUGUCAUGAAAUUCUCAACCCACCCUGCUUUUUGUAAGUGGGGGUUCGGGCUUGGAUUUGGGGGCUUUCCUUGCUGGUCGACCCUCCUCGAUCGGCUCCCCUUGAAGUCAUUAGCUCGGGACCACCCUGCUUCCCGGUCAGUUCACGGUGUGAUAGUCUAUCAGCACCUGUGUGUGGCCGCGGAUUGGCAAUGUGUCCGGCUCUCUAAAGAGACAUCGAAACCUCCCUUUAAUCUGACCUCAAAUCAGGUAGGACUACCCGCUGAACUUAAGCAUAUCAAUAAGCGGAGGA
rnacentral:rRNA from 1 species